AACUCUCAACCCCCUUGUUUUGUAAUGAAGCAGGCGUGGGCUUGGAUUAUGGCUGUCUGCUGGACUCUUUAAGUAGAGAUCGGCUCGGCUGAAAUACACGAGUAACCCAGUUUGAAUAUUAACGGCUUGACUCGGCGUAAUAGCUUUAUUUCGCUGAGGACGUUUCAUAUCAAGAUAGUGGUGCUUCUAAUGCAUUAUUCAUUUAAGC
rnacentral:misc_RNA from 1 species